rnacentral:rRNA from 1 species
AAGCAGGGGAUCGUAAGACCUUGCGCUUUUGGAGCGGCCGAUGUCUGAUUAGCUAGUUGGUGGGGUAAUGGCCUACCAAGGCUUCGAUCAGUAGCUGGUCUGAGAGGACGGCCAGCCACACUGGGACUGAGACACGGCCCAGACUCCUACGGGAGGCAGCAGUGGGGAAUUUUGGACAAUGGGCGCAAGCCUGAUCCAGCCAUGCCGCGUGAGUGAAGAAGGCCUUCGGGUUGUAAAGCUCUUUCAGCCGGGAAGAAAAGGUUGCGACUAAUAAUCGCAAUUCAUGACGGUACCGAAAGAAGAAGCACCGGCUAACUACGUGCCAGCAGCCGCGGUAAUACGUAGGGUGCGAGCGUUAAUCGGAAUUACUGGGCGUAAAGGGUGCGCAGGCGGCUCUGUAAGUCAGAUGUGAAAUCCCCGGGCUUAACCUGGGAAUUGCGUUUGAAACUACAAGGCUAGAGU